rnacentral:rRNA from 1 species
CGGUAGCAGGAAGUGCUUGCACUUUGCUGACGAGUGGCGGACGGGUGAGUAAUACUUAGGAACAUGCCUUUGUGUGGGGGAUAACCAUUGGAAACGAUGGCUAAUACCGCAUAAUGUCUUUGGACCAAAGAGGGCUUUCGGGCUCUCGCGCAAAGAGUGGCCUAAGUGAGAUUAGCUUGUUGGUGAGGUAAAGGCUCACCAAGGCGACGAUCUCUAGCUGUUCUGAGAGGAAGAUCAGCCACACUGGGACUGAGACACGGCCCAGACUCCUACGGGAGGCAGCAGUGGGGAAUAUUGCACAAUGGGGGCAACCCUGAUGCAGCCAUGCCGCGUGUGUGAAGAAGGCCUUCGGGUUGUAAAGCACUUUCAGUUGUGAGGAAAGGUUGAUGGUUAAUACCCAUCAGCUGUGACGUUAGCAACAGAAGAAGCACCGGCUAACUCCGUGCCAGCAGCCGCGGUAAUACGGAGGGUGCGAGCGUUAAUCGGAAUUACUGGGCGUAAAGCGCACGCAGGCGGUUAUAUAAGCUAGAUGUGAAAGCCCCGGGCUCAACCUGGGAAUAGCAUUUAGAACUGUAUGACUAGAGUCUUGGAGAGGGGAGUGGAAUUCCAGGUGUAGCG